rnacentral:rRNA from 1 species
ACGGGAGGCAGCAGUGAGGAAUAUUGGUCAAUGGGCGGAAGCCUGAACCAGCCAAGUCGCGUGAGGGAAGAAGGUCCUAUGGAUUGUAAACCUCUUUAGCCGGGGAGCAAUAAGCGCCACGCGUGGCGUGAUGCGAGUACCCGGAGAAUAAGGAUCGGCUAACUCCGUGCCAGCAGCCGCGGUAAUACGGAGGAUCCGAGCGUUAUCCGGAUUUAUUGGGUUUAAAGGGUGCGCAGGCGGCUUUUUAAGUCAGUGGUUAAAUCGUGAGGCUCAACCUCAUCACACCAUUGAUACUGGAGAGCUUGAUUGCGGUUGAGGUUGGCGGAAUUCGUCGGGUAGCGGUGAAAUGCAUAGAUAUGGCGAAGAACUCCGAUUGCGUAGGCAGCUGACCAGGCCGUAAAUGACGCUCAUGCACGAAAGUGCGGGGAUCGAACAGGAUUAGAUACCCUGGUA